rnacentral:misc_RNA from 1 species
AGCAGCCGCGGUAAUUCCAGCUCCAAUAGCGUAUAUUAAAGUUGUUGCAGUUAAAAGCUCGUAGUUGAAUUUCGGGAUCAAUUAAUUGGUCGUGCCUCUGGUACGUACUGAUUUUAUUGGUUUCUCCCUUCUGACGAACCAUGAUGUCAUUAAUUUGGUGUCGUGGAGAAUCAGGACUGUUACUUUGAAAAAAUUAGAGUGUUUAAAGCAAGCUAACGCUUGAAUACAUUAGCAUGGAAUAAUGAAAUAGGACGUUUGAUCCUAUUUUGUUGGUUUCUAGGAUCGACGUAAUGAUUAAUAGGGAUAGUUGGGGGCAUUAGUAUUCAAUUGUCAGAGGUGAAAUUCUUGGAUUUAUUGAAGACUAACUACUGCGAAAGCAUUUGCCAAGGAUGUUUUCAUUAAUCAAGAACGAAAGUUAGGGAUCGAAGACGAUCAGAUACCGUCGUAGUCUUAACCAUAAACUAUGCCGACUAGGGAUCGGAUGAUGUUUAAUUUUUAAUGUAUCAUUCGGCGCCUUAAC